rnacentral:rRNA from 1 species
UACGGAGGGGGCUAGCGUUGUUCGGAUUUACUGGGCGUAAAGGGCGCGUAGGCGGCUCAACAAGUCACUUGUGAAAUCUCCGGGCUUAACUCGGAACGGUCAAGUGAUACUGUCGAGCUAGAGUACAGAAGGGGCAACUGGAAUUCUCGGUGUAGCGGUGAAAUGCGUAGAUAUCAAGAGGAACACCUGAGGCGAAGGCGGGUUGCUAGGCUGACACUGACGCUGAGUGCGCGAAAGCCAGGGGAGCAAACGGG